UACAGAGGGUGCAAGCGUUGUUCGGAAUUACUGGGCGUAAAGCGCGCGUAGGCGGCUUUGUAAGUUAGAGGUGAAAGCCCGGAGCUCAACUCCGGAAUUGCCUUUAAGACUGCAUCGCUAGAAUCAUGGAGAGGUGAGUGGAAUUCCGAGUGUAGAGGUGAAAUUCGUAGAUAUUCGGAAGAACACCAGUGGCGAAGGCGACUCACUGGACAUGUAUUGACGCUGAGGUGCGAAAGCGUGGGGAGCAAACAGG
rnacentral:rRNA from 1 species